rnacentral:rRNA from 1 species
CCUACGGGUGGCAGCAGUGGGGGAUAUUGCACAAUGGGGGAAACCCUGAUGCAGCGACGCCGCGUGUGGGAAGACGGUCCUCUGGAUUGUAAACCACUGUCCCCAGGGACGAAGAUGACGGUACCUGGGGAGGAAGCUCCGGCUAACAACGUGCCAGCAGCCGCGGUAAUACGUAGGGAGCGAGCGUUGUCCGGAAUUACUGGGUGAAAGGGGAGCGUAGGCGGGACUGCAAGUUGGGUGUCAAAUCUACCGGCUCAACCGGUAGCCGCACUCAAAACUGCAGUGCUUGAGUGAAGUAGAGGCAGGCGGAAUUCCUAGUGUAGCGGUGAAAUGCGUAGAUAUGAGGAGGAACACCAGUGGCGAAGGCGGCCUGCUGGGCUUUUACUGACGCUGAGGCUCGAAAGUGUGGGGAGCAAACAGGAUUAGAUACCCGGGUAGUC